rnacentral:rRNA from 1 species
AUUGAACGCUGGCGGCAGGCUUAACACAUGCAAGUCGAGCGAGCGGCGGACGGGUGAGUAAUGUCUGGGAAACUGCCUGAUGGAGGGGGAUAACUACUGGAAACGGUAGCUAAUACCGCAUACCAUCAGAUGUGCCCAGAUGGGAUUAGCUAGUAGGUGGGGUAAUGGCUCACCUAGGCGACGAGCCCUAGCUGGUCUGAGAGGAUGACCAGACACCCUGGAAUGGAGACACGGUCCAGCCUCUUACGGGAGGAAGCAGUGGGGAAGUUUGCACAAUGGGCGCAAGCCUGAUGCAGACCUGCCGCGUGUGGGAAGAAGGCCUUCGGGUUGUAAAGCACUUUCAGCGAGGAGGCGUUACUCGAAGAAGAAGCACCGGCUAACUCCGUGCCAGCCGCCGCGGUAAUAC